rnacentral:rRNA from 1 species
GACGAACGCUGGCGGCGUGCCUAAUACAUGCAAGUCGAGCGAGCGGCGGACGGGUGAGUAAUGUAUGGGGAUCUGCCCGACAGAGGGGGAUAACUACUGGAAACGGUGGCUAAUACCGCAUACUAUCGGAUGAACCCAGAUGGGAUUAGCUAGGAGGUGGGGUAAAGGCUCACCUAGCCGACGAUGUCUAGCUAGUCUGAGAGGAUGAUCAGCCACACUGGGACGGAGACACGGCCCAGACCCCUACGGGAGGCAGCAGUGGGGAAUAUUGCACAAGGGGCGCAAGUCUGAUGCAGCCAUGCCGCGUGGAUGAAGAAGGCCUUAGGGUUGUAAAGUACUUUCAGUGGGGAGGCGUUACCCGCAGAAGAAGCACCGGCUAACUCCGUGCCAGCAGCCGCGGUAAUAC